GGGUUUCUGAGUGCGUUCAGACGUGCUAUAUCUAUCUUUGGUAACUGCACUCGGUAUGGUCGUCGAUCGAUGCUGGAGUAGUCGUGUCGAUCGUCGAUUGAGUCUGUCUGUCGAUCGGUAGGUUUCUCAUGGUGCCGAUCGAUAUUCGACUUCUUAAUGUGUAAGGGUUUGGGUGGAUGAGGGUGCUUAGCUGCUAACUCUGAUAGACCAUGGAUUUUACCCACUUU
rnacentral:lncRNA from 1 species